UACGUAGGGUGCGAGCGUUGUCCGGAAUUAUUGGGCGUAAAGGGCUCGUAGGCGGUCUGUCACGUCGGGAGUGAAAACUCAGGGCUUAACCCUGAGCCUGCUUCCGAUACGGGCAGACUAGAGGUAUGCAGGGGAGAACGGAAUUCCUGGUGUAGCGGUGAAAUGCGCAGAUAUCGGGAGGAACACCAGCGGCGAAGGCGGCACUCUGGGCUGGAACUGACGCUGAGGAGCGAAAGCGUGGGUAGCAAACAGG
rnacentral:rRNA from 1 species